rnacentral:rRNA from 1 species
UCGGGAAUUUUGGGCAAUGGGCGCAAGCCUGAUCCAGCCAUGCCGCGUGGAUGAUGAAGGCCUUAGGGUUGUAAAAUCCUUUCGCCGAGGACGAUAAUGACGGUACUCGGAGAAGAAGCUCCGGCUAACUUCGUGCCAGCAGCCGCGGUAAUACGAAGGGGGCUAGCGUUGUUCGGAUUUACUGGGCGUAAAGGGCGCGUAGGCGGCGUGGUAAGUCAUCUGUGAAAUCUCCGGGCUUAACUCGGAACGGUCAGAUGAUACUGCUUUGCUAGAGUGCAGAAGGGGCAAUCGGAAUUCUUGGUGUAGCGGUGAAAUGCGUAGAUAUCAAGAGGAACACCUGAGGUGAAGACGGGUUGCUGGGCUGACACUGACGCUGAGGCGCGAAAGCCAGGGGAGCAAACGGGAUUAGAUACCCAGGUAGUCCCUGAGCGGGCUGGCAAGGCGCAU